UACGUAGGGUGCAAGCGUUGUCCGGAAUUAUUGGGCGUAAAGAGCUCGUAGGCGGUUCGUCACGUCGGCUGUGAAAUCCCGAGGCUCAACCUCGGGUCUGCAGUCGAUACGGGCGGACUGGAGUACUGCAGGGGAGACUGGAAUUCCUGGUGUAGCGGUGAAAUGCGCAGAUAUCAGGAGGAACACCGGUGCGAAGGCGGGUCUCUGGGCAGUAACUGACGCUGAGGAGCGAAAGCGUGGGGAGCGAACCGG
rnacentral:rRNA from 1 species